CGGCUGAGGUGGGAUCCCGGGGCG
rnacentral:piRNA from 1 species